GACGAACGCUGGCGGCGUGCCUAAUACAUGCAAGUCGAGCGCAGGAAACUGACGGAACUCUUCGGAGGGAAGGCAGCGGAAUGAGCGGCGGACGGGUGAGUAACACGUAAGGAACCUGCCUCAAGGAUUGGGAUAACUCCGAGAAAUCGGAGCUAAUACCGGAUAGUUCAUCGGACCGCAUGGUCCGGUGAUGAAAGGCGCUCCGGCGUCACCUUGAGAUGGCCUUGCGGUGCAUUAGCUAGUUGGUGGGGUAACGGCCCACCAAGGCGACGAUGCAUAGCCGACCUGAGAGGGUGAUCGGCCACACUGGGACUGAGACACGGCCCAGACUCCUACGGGAGGCAGCAGUAGGGAAUCUUCCACAAUGGACGAAAGUCUGAUGGAGCAACGCCGCGUGAGUGAUGAAGGUUUUCGGAUCGUAAAACCCUGUUGUAAGGGAAGAACACGUACGAGAGGGAAUGCUCGUACCUUGACGGUACCUUACGAGAAAGCCACGGCUAACUACGUGCCAGCCGCCGCAGUAAAAC
rnacentral:rRNA from 1 species